rnacentral:rRNA from 1 species
AGAGUUUGAUCCUGGCUCAGAAUGAACGCUGGCGGCAUGGAUUAGGCAUGCAAGUCGAACGUGAAGCUCCAGCUUGCUGGAGUGGAAAGUGGCGCAAGGGUGAGUAACACGUGAGCAAUCUGCCCCCGGAUUCGGGAUAGCCCGCGGAAACGCGGAUUAAUACCGUAUACGGCCUCUGUCAUGCAUGUGACAGAGUGCGAAAGAUUUAUUGUCCGGGGAUGAGCUCGCGCCCCAUUAGCUAGUUGGUAAGGUAACGGCUUACCAAGGCUGUGACGGGUAGGUGGUCUGGGAGGAUGGUCACCCACACUGGGACUGAGACACUGCCCAGACUCCUACGGGAGGCUGCAGUCGAGAAUCAUCCGCAAUGGGCGAAAGCCUGACGGUGCAAUGCCGCGUGGGGGAUGAAGGCCUUCGGGUCGUAAACCCCUGUCAACCGGGACGAAGAAGUGACGGUACCGGUAGAGGAAGCCACGGCUAACUACGUGCCAGCAGCCGCGGUAAUACGUAGGUGGCGAGCGUUAUUCGGAUUUACUGGGCGUAAAGGGUCCGCAGGGGGUUUGUCUAGUCUGAUGUGAAAUCCCGAAGCCCAACUUCGGAACUGCAUUGGAUACUGGCGAACUCGAGUACAGGAGGGGUGAGCGGAAUUCCAGGUGUAGCGGUGGAAUGCGUAGGUAUCUGGAAGAACACCGAUGGCGAAGGCGGCUCACUGGCCUGCUACUGACCCUCAUGGACGAAAGCGUGGGGAGCGAACAGGAUUAGAUACCCUGGUAGUCCACGCCGUAAACGUUGUGUACUAGAUGUGGGCGGAUUCGAUCCCGUCCGUGUCCAAGCUAACGCGUUAAGUACACCGCCUGGGGACUACGGCCUCAAGGCUAAAACACAAAGGAAUUGACGGGGGCCUGCACAAGCGGUGGAGCAUGUGGCUCAAUUCGAGGCGACGCGAAGAACCUUACCUGGGUUUGACAUAUUCCGGACCGGGUGUGAAAGCAUCCUUCUCUUCGGAGCCGGUAUACAGGUGCUGCAUGGCUGUCGUCAGCUCGUGUCGUGAGAUGUUCGGUUAAGUCCGGCAACGAGCGCAACCCGUGUCGUCAGUUGCUACCAAGUAAUGUUGGGCACUCUGGCGAGACCGCCCGUGUCAAGCGGGAGGAAGGCGCGGAUGACGUCAAGUCCGUAUGGCCCUUACAUCCAGGGCUGCACACGUGCUACAAUGGUCGGUACAAUGGGAAGCGAUACCGCGAGGUGGAGCAAAUCCUAAAAACCGGCCCCAGUUCGGAUUGGAGUCUGCAACUCGACUCCAUGAAGUCGGAAUCGCUAGUAAAGGGGUAUCAGCAACGGCCCCUUGAAUGCGUUCCCGGGCCUUGUACACACCGCCCGUCACACCAUGGAAGCUGGCUGCACCCGAAGUCGUUGACCCAACCCCUCGGGGAGGGAGGCGCCGAAGGUGUGUCUAGUAACUGGGAUGAAGUCGUAACAAGGUA